GUAAUUUUAAAAGUAUGAACCAAAUUAGCGUUAGUUGUAGGUUCUGUUGUCAUGUUUUUGUAACUUAGCUGGAGCAGACUCGCGUCGACGUUUAAGCGCGCAAAUUUGAAUGAAAAGACGUUGGUUGUAGUGUUAAUUAUACCGUAUUAAGUUAACUGUGAGAUGUCUGAUUAGAUACACCGUCGAACAUUUAACUUUAGCUUUACUUAAAGCUUAUCUUAGUUACUCUAACAGCGUUCUCUCUUUUACCACAGCAUUUUCUACAUUGACCGACGAUAAAUAAAGUUAUAAGGUGCUUCUUGGGCAUCAACCCAGAGACGGGCACAAAAUCUAAGAGGCAGAGAGGUCACAUGAACCAGCAAGUCUGCACUCUUAUCAGGAAGCUCAUUGACUUCGAAUGGAUGUCAAUCUAAUUGGAUAGAACCCACACUAUGCAGGUGCCAGCUGCGAGGGAAGGAGCGAGAC